rnacentral:rRNA from 1 species
GACGAACGCUGGCGGCGUGCUUAACACAUGCAAGUCGAACGGAGAGGCCCUUCGGGGUACUCGAGUGGCGAACGGGUGAGUAACACGUGGGUGAUCUGCCCUGCACUUUGGGAUAAGCCUGGGAAACUGGGUCUAAUACCGAAUAGGACCGCAUGCUUCAUGGUGUGUGGUGGAAAGCUUUUGCGGUGUGGGAUGGGCCCGCGGCCUAUCAGCUUGUUGGUGAGGUAAUGGCUUACCAAGGCGACGACGGGUAGCCGGCCUGAGAGGGUGACCGGCCACACUGGGACUGAGAUACGGCCCAGACUCCUACGGGAGGCAGCAGUGGGGAAUAUUGCACAAUGGGCGCAAGCCUGAUGCAGCGACGCCGCGUGAGGGAUGACGGCCUUCGGGUUGUAAACCUCUUUCGCCAGGGACGAAGCGCAAGUGACGGUACCUGGAGAAGAAGGACCGGCCAACCACGUGCCAGCAGCCGCGGUAAUACGUAGGGUCCGAGCGUUGUCCGGAAUUACUGGGCGUAAAGAGUUCGUAGGUGGUUUGUCGCGUUGUUCGUGAAAACUCACAGCUUAACUGUGGGCGUGCGGGCGAUACGGGCAGACUUGAGUACUGCAGGGGAGACUGGAAUUCCUGGUGUAGCGGUGGAAUGCGCAGAUAUCAGGAGGAACACCGGUGGCGAAGGCGGGUCUCUGGGCAGUAACUGACGCUGAGGAGCGAAAGCGUGGGGAGCGAACAGGAUUAGAUACCCUGGUAGUCCACGCCGUAAACGGUGGGUACUAGGUGUGGGUUUCCUUCCUUGGGAUCCGUGCCGUAGCUAACGCAUUAAGUACCCCGCCUGGGGAGUACGGCCGCAAGGCUAAAACUCAAAGAAAUUGACGGGGGCCCGCACAAGCGGCGGAGCAUGUGGAUUAAUUCGAUGCAACGCGAAGAACCUUACCUGGGUUUGACAUGCACAGGACGCCGGCAGAGAUGUCGGUUCCCUUGUGGCCUGUGUGCAGGUGGUGCAUGGCUGUCGUCAGCUCGUGUCGUGAGAUGUUGGGUUAAGUCCCGCAACGAGCGCAACCCUUGUCUCAUGUUGCCAGCACGUUAUGGUGGGGACUCGUGAGAGACUGCCGGGGUCAACUCGGAGGAAGGUGGGGAUGACGUCAAGUCAUCAUGCCCCUUAUGUCCAGGGCUUCACACAUGCUACAAUGGCCGGUACAAAGGGCUGCGAUGCCGUGAGGUGGAGCGAAUCCUUUCAAAGCCGAUCUCAGUUCGGAUCGGGGUCUGCAACUCGACCCCGUGAAGUCGGAGUCGCUAGUAAUCGCAGAUCAGCAACGCUGCGGUGAAUACGUUCCCGGGCCU